UACGGAGGGUGCGAGCGUUGUCCGGAAUCACUGGGCGUAAAGGGCGCGUAGGCGGCGCGAGCAGUCGGCGGUGAAAGCCCGGAGCUCAACUCCGGGUCGGCCGUCGAUACUCUCGUGCUUGAGCACUGUAGAGGCAGGUGGAAUUCCCGGUGUAGCGGUGGAAUGCGUAGAGAUCGGGAAGAACACCAGUGGCGAAGGCGGUCUGCUGGGCCGUUGCUGACGCUGAGGCGCGACAGCGUGGGGAGCAAACAGG
rnacentral:rRNA from 1 species